rnacentral:rRNA from 1 species
UACGAAGGGGGGCUAGCGUUGUUCGGAAUUACUGGGCGUAAAGCGCACGUAGGCGGAUAUUUAAGUCAGGGGUGAAAUCCCAGAGCUCAACUCUGGAACUGCCUUUGAUACUGGGUAUCUGGAGUAUGGAAGAGGUGAGUGGAAUUCCGAGUGUAGAGGUGAAAUUCGUAGAUAUUCGGAGGAACACCAGUGGCGAAGGCGGCUCACUGGUCCAUUACUGACGCUGAGGUGCGAAAGGCGUGGGGAGCAAACAGG